rnacentral:misc_RNA from 1 species
GAUGAAGAACGCAGCGAAAUGCAAUAAGUAAUGUGAAUUGCAGAAUUCAGUGAAUCAUCGAAUCUUUGAACGCACAUUGCGCCCGCCAGUAUUCUGGCGGGCAUGCCUGUUCGAGCGUCAUUUCAACCAUCAAGCCUCAGGCUUGUGUUGGAGCCCUGCGGCUGCCGCAGCCUCCCAAAACCAGUGGCGGGCUCGCUAUCACACCGAGUGCAGUAGUUUACUCUUCGCUCAGGGCGUGUGGCGGGUGCUAGCCGUGAAACCCCCAACUUCUCAAGGUUGACCUCGGAUCAGGUAGGAAUACCCGCUGAACUUAAGCAUAUCAAUAAGCGGAGGA